rnacentral:rRNA from 1 species
UGGGGAAUAUUGGACAAUGGGCGCAAGCCUGAUCCAGCAAUGCCGCGUGUGUGAAGAAGGCCUUCGGGUUGUAAAGCACUUUUAUCAGGAGCGAAAUACGAUGGGCUAAUACCCCGUCGGGCUGACGGUACCUGAGGAAUAAGCACCGGCUAACUUCGUGCCAGCAGCCGCGGUAAUACGAAGGGUGCAAGCGUUAAUCGGAAUUACUGGGCGUAAAGCGUGCGUAGGCGGUGAUUUAAGUCUGCUGUGAAAUCCCCGGGCUCAACCUGGGAAUGGCAGUGGAUACUGGAUCGCUAGAGUGUGAUAGAGGAUGGUGGAAUUCCCGGUGUAGCGGUGAAAUGCGUAGAGAUCGGGAGGAACAUCAGUGGCGAAGGCGGCCAUCUGGAUCAACACUGACGCUGAGGCACGAAAGCGUGGGGAGCAAAAAGG